UCUUUUUUUGAGAGAGAGUAUCUGUCUAUUAUGUAGACCUAAAUGUCCUAGAACUCACUAGACCAGGCUGGUCUUGAACUCACAGAGAUCCACCUGCCUCUGCCUCCUGAGAACUGGAAUCACAGGAGUAUAUCAUCAGGCACAUCCUCGAAGCUCUUCUCAAUGCAUGAUAAAAUAAAUCCUCUUCCUUCCGCUGUGGAUCCAGAUAUGCCUGGAAUUCUGGCAUUGAUUCUGGCUGAUGAUCUGUGCUUGGUUGUCACUUACACCCACUGGUAUUGGAGUACAUAAGCUCCCUGGAUCCAUCCAGAGAGGCUGAAGAAACAAGACACUUUGGAGUUCAGAAGCUGAGGAUUCGUUUAGUGCUUGCUCCGCCCAUCAGCUAUACCACUAAGACUGUGUUGCUAUGAUGGGAGAAAUUUACAUUAGUAAGUGUUGUAUAAUGAAGAAGAGAACUCUUUGCAUGGGGUAAUUUGGGAGCUCCUGGUCUACUGUGCCACUUUGGGUUUGGCUACCAUCAUCUCUCAACUUGGUUGUGGCAGUAGCAUAAAGACAAAUGUUCCUUUUGUCUCUCCCUGGUACUGUAGCCUCUGGUCCUUAUAAAUG